CGCUCCCAGAACUAGGUCAUCGGCCGCCAGCAGCCCGGAGUGGGGGGUGGGGGUGUUCUGAAAGAGCGGCCGCCCCUCCCCAUCCCCCAAUCCUUUCUCCCUCCGCCUUCCUUCCAGUCUCCCUUCCUCUCUCUUUUCCCUCUCCUCCACUCCCUUUCCCCCUUCCCUUCCCCCACUCUCCCUGCCUCCCUCUUUCACCUCCUCCCUUCCCCCUCCCCAUCUUCCCCGGGCCCCUGCGGGAUCUGAAUGCCGGGAAGCCCCGGAUCGCCUUAGUGGGCCCCGAUGCGAAGGAUGCCCAGGAGGGACCCGACCUGGCGCGCACGCAUUGGUUGUUUAUAAUGCGGAGUGAUUCCUGGAAGAUUCGUCCUGGGAGGCUGAGGGGAGACGGGGCUCCGGCUGGCCCCUAAACUGGACCGUGUGAAAUGAGAUGUCAGGAGGUGACCUCCACGUUCUUUUCCAGCUCGCACAAUUCUAGGAGUGACAAAGAGCUCCAUUAUCGGAGCUUCCCGGCAGCGUGGAACCCUGGAAAUGGUAUCUGGGGAGAUCUGGGUUUGAGUCCCAUCUGAUCCUGGACCAGCUGAGUGACCUUGGACAAAUCCCAGCCUCUCUGAACCUCAGUUUCCUCAUCUGUCAAGGGGAGAAGAUGGUGGCAGCUACCUCAUUGGGUUUCUGGAACACUAUUCUGUCUCUCCUGGUUCUCCUCCUCCAUCUCAGACUGCUUCUUCUCUGUCUUCUUGGUGGAAUUCUCUUACCAAUCGCACCUUCUAAUCGUAGAUGGCCUUCUUCUCCUAUUCUACUUGCAUUGAUGAUCUCAUCAGUUUCCAUGGAGCAAGGAAGAUGGAAGAUGGGAGAGAACUGAGGGGCCAAGGAAUCAAAGGCCAUCAACUACUCAAGAGUAGGAUUUUGUGAAGGAACUCAAAGGGGGAGGUAAAAAGCCAAUAGCUGAUGGUUGAAUAUGGGGAUGUCAGAAUUCUUCUUUUUUUUUAAACCCUUACCUUCUGUCUUGGAAACAAUGUUCCAAGACAGAAGAGUGGUAAGGGCUAGGCAAUGGGGGUUAAGUGACUUGCCCAGGGUCACACAGCUGGGAAAUGUCUGAGGCCAUAUUUGAACCCAGGACCUCCCAUUUCUAGGCCUGGCUCUCAAUCCAAUGAACCACCCAGCUGCCCCCAUGUCAGAAUUCUUGAACACAGAGGUAGUAUAUUUGUGGGCAAUGACUACAUCAAGGGGAUGACCAUCUCUGUGUGUCUAAAAUGGGUAAAGGAAUAGCACCUGGAAGGUGAGUAUGUUGAGGAACUGAGUGGUUUGGGAAUGAAGGAGAAUAUAUGAAUAUAUAUUUAAUCCUCUAAUAUAAGGGCGGGAGUUGGGGACAAGACAGAAGUUGUGAGCCAGAUAUCAAACUCAUUGAGGAAGAAAGGGCAGUGGCCUGGGGGCGCUACAGACAAUAGCUACCAAAACUUCUGGGUGGUAGAAAUGAAGAGCAAGAACCUCAGAGGAAGAGAGCUUACUGAAUGAGAGGGGAGAAGAGGGAGAACCUGGAAGUAGCAAUAGGAAGAAAAGAAUACUCUAAGUCCCCCAUCUUAACUGGUGACCCAAGGAGAAUGAGUGAAGGUGUAGUCAGCUACUAGAAAGGGUGGCCAAAGAGAUAGUGUCGUCACUAAGGGGGUUUUGUAAGAGCUAAUAGAUCAAAGGAGUGGGAGAAGUGCAGGGAAUUGUGUCGUCUGUGAAAUGGGCAUUCCAGAGGGCACAGUAGAAGGGCUGGGUGGAUUGAGGUUGAAACUUCAGAAUAGGGGGUUGAGGGGGAUGGGGAUGAGGAACUGGGUGGCAGAAGGAAUGGAAUGAAGUUUGGUUAAUGACCUACC
ensembl:lncRNA